rnacentral:rRNA from 1 species
AGUGAACGCUGGCGGUAGGCCUAACACAUGCAAGUCGAACGGCAGCACAGUAAGAGCUUGCUCUUACGGGUGGCGAGUGGCGGACGGGUGAGGAAUACAUCGGAAUCUACUUUUUCGUGGGGGAUAACGUAGGGAAACUUACGCUAAUACCGCACACGACCUACGGGUGAAAGCAGGGGAUCUUCGGACCUUGCGCGAUUGAAUGAGCCGAUGUCGGAUUAGCUAGUUGGCGGGGUAAAGGCCCACCAAGGCGCCGAUCCGUAGCUGGUGUGAGAGGAUGAUCAGCCACACUGGAACUGAGACACGGUCCAGACUACUACGGGAGGCAGCAGUGGGGAAUAGUGGACAAAGGGCGCAAGCCUGAUCCAGCCAUACCGCGUGGGUGAAGAAGGCCUUCGGGUUGUAAAGCCCUUUUGUUGGGAAAGAAAAGCAGCAGGUUAAUACCCCGCUGUUCUGACGGUACCCAAAGAAUAAGCACCGGCUAACUUCGUG